GCGAUGUGGUUUAAUUUCGAUGAUACGCGAGGAACCUUACCUGGGCUCGAACGUAAGAUGACUGUAGGUGAAAGCUUACAUCUCUUCGGAGCAUUUUACGAGGUGCUGCAUGGUUGUCGUCAGCUCGUGCCGUGAGGUGUCGGGUUAAGUCCCAUAACGAGCGCAACCCCUACCUUUAGUUGCCAUCAGGUUUAAGCUGGGGACUCUAAAGGAACUGCCUACGCAAGUAGUGAGGAAGGCGGGGAUGACGUCAAAUCAGCACGGCCCUUACGUCCAGGGCUACACACGUGCUACAAUGGCCGAUACAGAGGGCAGCUACCUGGUGACAGGAUGCAAAUCUCCAAAGUCGGUCUCAGUUCGGAUCGGAGUCUGCAACCCGACUCCGUGAAGUUGGAUUCGCUAGUAAUCGCGCAUCAGCCAUGGCGCGGUGAAUACGUUCCCGGGCCUU
rnacentral:rRNA from 1 species